AAAAAUAUAUUUUUAUAUAUAUAUAAAAAAUACUAUAUAUCAUAUAUAUCAUAGUGUGUAUAUAUAUAUAUACAUAUAAUAUAUAAUAUAAAACCUCUUUGGAUCUCAUAUUUCUGUUUAAUUCUCCCUGGUUUGAGGGGAUUAUAGGUUUCAUCAGAUCUUACCAAGCUGUUAAUAAUGAAGAAAUGCUCAUUAUUAAUAGCACGGUAUAAAGUAAAUGGCACUGAAUAUUAUGUUGGGGGCAGAGAAUGACACUGAAAGCUUUUUCUUUAUUACUUGCAGAGGAGAAGAAAGUAAAGAGCACUAAAGUGGAAGCAAAAGUUAAAAAGGAAGUGAAGGAUGGAAAAGGAGAAGCAAAGACGGCAGAGAAGGUGAAGCAGGCAGAGACAAAAACAACAGAAACUGGGCUAAUAAAGGCCAAAACGAAAGUUAAGGAGGAGAAAGCUCUUCAGACUGUUACUAAAUCGGACAAGAAAGGUGCAGGACAUAAGGAAUUCAUACCACCUCGUCUUCUUCUAGAACACAGUCCAAGAAAGAAACCAGCAGCCAUUGAAGAAGAAAAGUCUACUGUGGAACCUAGAGAAGUGAAAAGUAUGUUGCUUUGUUGUUUUUCUUUAUUUUUUCAUUAUCUUCAUGUUAGUUUUAUGCAAGGGACAGGAGUAUAUUUUUUCUUGUAUUUGAAAACAUUCCUAUACCUUAAAUAUUUUUCAAUUAAAGAGAAUACUCUUGCUUAA
rnacentral:lncRNA from 1 species